UUUUUUUUUUCCACUGUACUGUCACUCUUUUACACAAUUGUCAUUCUGUUUGGCUCAUGGUAAUGAUUUUAGUGCCCCUGAUUCACGAUCACAUAAGGGAUUAAGGUGUGCUAUCUUUGUAACCAAAGCCUAGGAAGAUAAGUCGGUCUCCAUCAGGCAGUAAUACGUCAGGCCUCUCCUGUGAGUCACACACCUUUAGUCAUGUUCUCUGAAUUUUAAUGUGAUUCUGCUCUGAAGUAAUGUAUCCCCCAUUGAAUAACCUGGGCUUACAACCUUAGCAUCGCUGUACCUUAAUUUUGAAAUUGCAUCUGUUAAAUGAAAAAUGUAGCGUGGAGCUUCAAACAAAGAAGCUAUAACAUGAUAGUGGUCAUUUACCUGACUCUUUUUGGUUUGCUUUAUCGUUUUGUGGUCCUAGGAACAUAUAAUUUUAGCCAAGCACCAUACUGCUGGACUACACCCUAACCCUUAUUUAAGUUUUGUUUUUUUUGUUUGUUUUUAGUUAUAAAAAUCCUUUGGUUUUGAUUGUGUGUGUGUGUGUGUGUGUGUGUGUGUGUGUGUGUGUAUGUGUUUUGUGGGCUCAUACCAUAUAUAUGGAGGUCAGCGGUUGACAUCCAAUGGCUUUCUUGAUUAUUCUCAGCAUGGUCUCUUGCUCGAGGUCCCAGCUUCCUCUGCCGCUCUCCGCUUGCUGAGUGUUAGGAUCAGGGGAAGCAGUGAGCAGUGUGGAUGUUGUGGAUCUGAAUCUAGGCCUCAGUCCUUUGGGACAUGGGUUUUUCACCGAGUCAUGUCCCCAGCCUCUGUCUCUUUCUUUACUCUAUCUGAGCACCAUCUUAGCGUUCCUCUCACUAUAACUUCUAGAGACAUGCCUUGAGCAUGACUGGCCAGAUGACAUGGCGUUGAUGUCAUCCUGGCUGGCUCCUUCCACCUGCUGUUCCAGACUUUGGGUGGGAGUUGGGCCUCUCUUUUCUUUUCUUUUGUGCUGAGCAGUUGUGUUCAGAGGACUCUUAUCUUCUCUCCAUCUCGUCUCUUUCCUUCAGAGUCGGCUCCAGAAACUUCUGCCUGUCUCGCAAAGCCUCUUUUAUCUGCUCAUGGCAGAAAACAAACAGGUGGCAUGAAAGACUGUCUAGUCAAAGUGAGAUGAGUCGAUCUAUGACAUUUGUGAGGGCUAGGUCCCAAGCCACCUUCAAUUCUCAAACUACGUUCUGUGAAAUCACUAAAAGAAGACCAGAAAUAAUCUCUCUAGGCCCUCACUACGCAUCUCUCUUGUUGAGUGAUCUUUAUGGUGUCGAGCACUAACUGAAAUAAAUUUGCACAUCUUUUCUACUGGUAUUCUUUGGAAGGCUUAGUGGCUGUGUUCACACGAUGUGUCUGAGUCAUUGCAUUUGACAUUUCUGUCUUCAGUUGAUCUUGAAAUGUCUAUCUUGUGGCCAGGAACUAUGGCUUUCAUAAACAUGUCCACGUUCCCUUUAUUCUGUCGUCAACACUAGACUCCACUAGUAGUUAAUUUUGCUUGUAUGAUUUCUCUUAAAAAAAAGUUUUAUUUUAAAAAUCAUUUUAUUUGCAGUGUUCAUAGCAGUUAAGAAUAAGCUCUCUGACUAAGAGCCCUACCUGGACGUAGGCCAGGCCUGGCAAUGCGCGCCUGCCCCUCAGCUUAUGAAGAAUCAUGUCUCUGAGGAAGCAAUGAUUAGGAAGUCUCACCACAACUUCAGGGGUUGAUCAGGAUGGUGGGGCUGUAAACACUGGGUCUGGGGGUGUAUAUGGUCUUUGCCAUAUGUUAUACUGAUAAGCAUGCACUUAGAGUUAACUCCUCUCUCUCAGUAACCCAAGAGCUUCACAGGGCUAAUUUUCCCAUAGCGACUUCUACACCAUUUUUUUCUCUUGUUGACAUUAGUAGCAAAUAUUUUUGUGGGAAGACAUGCCUCUUAUAAUAUACUUUUAAAUAAGCGUGAAGUAGGAUUUAACAUUUAUAUAUUAUAUUUAUAUCAUAACCUUUUUUUUAAAGCCUACAGCACCUGGUAUUCCCAGGUGCUCCCCCAUCCAAGUAUUAACCUGGCCAGACCCUGCUUAGAUAUCAUAACUUUUGAAUGUAUUGUUUUAACAUUAGUUUUAAUUUUAACAUGGAGAAAGCUCAAUGUGGCUGUUGUUGAACACUGUCUCCCCUCCUUUUGGACACAGCUGGAAUUUCCAGUUGCUGACCGAUCCUUCUAAACAUAACUUAUGUACAUACAGGGGACAUACUCCAUAUCUCCUUUGGUUUUAUACAAAUGGUAGCGCAGCAUUUUUGUACUUUGCUUAAAAUUAGUCAUAUUAAUUCUAUCUUGAAUUAUUUCUACAUUAGAAUGGAGUUUCCUCUUUGCCUUUCCCUGUGGCAUUUUAUGCCAUGGCAUUGAACUGUUGUAACUCUCUACCUACGAAGAACCCACACACACACACACACACACACACACACACACACACACACGAGUAUCUAGUAGGAUCAUUUUCUAGAAGCAGACUUCCUGAGUUGGAGGAUAAAGUCUGGGUUGUUAGUUCAUAGUACUUUUAACUUACAAUGAUUAUUAGAGGCCCAACCACCUUCAGCUUCAUAACAUAAAAUAUUUGUUGUUUGUUUGCUUUGUCUUGGGCUUUCUAUGCCUGAGUUAUCUCCUCAGUCUCCUCACAUGGGUUUUCUGAGUGUGUGAUGCUACUUGAAGACAGAUUUGCCUACAUAGAAGCACUGAACAUACACUCCUCCCAAAAUAAUC
rnacentral:lncRNA from 1 species